CUUCCUCGGCCUGCUGCGGGCAGAUGAAGUGGAUGUGCGCGUCGAUGCCGCCGGCAGUCACGAUCUUGCCUUCGGCGGCAAUGAUUUCGGUGGCCGCGCCGAUGGGAAUGGUCACGCCGGGCUGGAUGUCCGGGUUGCCGGCCUUGCCGAUGGCGGCGAUACGGCCAUGCUUGACGCCGAUGUCGGCCUUGACGAUGCCCCAGUGGUCAAUGAUCAGUGCGUUGGUCAGCACCAGGUCCAUGGCCUCGUCGGCCAGCAUCUGGCCCUGACCCAUGCCGUCGCGGAU
rnacentral:sRNA from 1 species